ensembl:lncRNA
AGUGGCCUUGGAAAAUUGCUGUCUUUUUCCUUCCAUUUGUCCUUACUUUGGGGUUCACCUCGGCAUGUUAUGAGUUGACUGCAGAAUAGUGGAGAGAGGAUUUCCGUUAACCCAGAGACUUGCUAUGAGGUGGUUGGUGCCAUUGGUGGUCCAGCAAUGGGUAAGAGCUGGUAGGAUCAACCUGUUUUGUUCUGUGCUCCCUGCCAGCCCCACAUCCACCACUGCCUUUCCACACAACCAGAGCUUACAGAACAGUACAUAGAUCUUUAAUCUCACAGCGCAGUGAGCUCUGUGGGGUUUGGUGCUCCUCCUCCUGCUGCACCACUGCUCCUUCCUCACCAGGAGCUGACACAGGAUGGCUCCCGGUCCUUUUUCCUGCAGUCCAGACAGUCUCUGGGCCACCUGGGGAAGGAGAAUAAAGAAUAUCAAGCCGCUGAAAUGACAAAGAAGUUUAAGCAGAGAUGAAGAGAAAGCAGAAAUUUGGGGACCGGCCCGUCAGGACUUGUUCAGGCCUCACUGAUUUGCAGUCUGAAGCAGCGACGCGGAUCUGCAGCGUAUCCUGAGCCUCAUUUCUCAACCUUUGAGGGUUAUUUGAGGGAUCUUUGGUCCCCGGUGAGGCUGAGUCAGAAAAGCCAUCUCUGCACAGACAGGAGGGGGAUUAAGUCAGGUCCUGCUUCCCCUUUUAAGCUGCAGGAGAUACCAGCGAGGCCGUUCCCAUGGGACAGAGAUUAUCUCAUUGCUUUUGCUGGAAACGUCUGAGGGAUGCAGCGCAGGGAGAUGAUGGAUGGCUGUGAAACAUGAAGCGUGGAUCCAAGGGAUGGCUCUGCACACGCUUUACAUUUGCUUAAGCCAGAGAAGGACGUGGAUAUGCCGACUACCUGAUAAAGGUCUUUAAUCCUACAGUUGGACUUUCUGUGGGGUUGCAGGGAGCUUUGCUCCUUAUCUAUCCCGGAAUGUUACUGAUGUCGUGGACUCCAGCAAAGAUGCUGGCACCCUGACAGGACGAUGCUGUUCGUUCUUUGGGAUUGAAUCAGAAAUCCAGGAUGAGGACAUCAUUUGGAGGAAGUGGCAGAGCUCCCAGAGGUCAGCGGCUCCAUUUGGGAAGGCCUGGGAGAAGCUUCAGGUUCCUUCAGGAUGGAGAGGUUGGGAGCUCUGUCUCUGUUCAUCGUGCUGUGCGUAGGAUGGGUAACCAUGGACCAGGUUAAGUGCAGAACGAGCAUGGCUUGUGGCUGCAAAGGGAGAAACGUGGCCUGAAGUGGCUGCUAUAGGGACAGUGGGCAAGAGCAAAGAAGUCCUGAGCAGGGUCUGACUCCUGAAGAAGAAAGCAAGCAACCAAAUGUGUACCCCCUGCCAGCCCUGGGGAGGUGGCUGUGCCAGCAGCAGGGUGCUGCCGUGCAUCUGUCCCAUUUGCUGGCCUGUGCCAUCAGGAGGUGAGGUGCAGACCAGCAACAGUGAGCGGCCGGCUUUGCUGCCGUG